rnacentral:rRNA from 1 species
GGAGUGGACGCAUCACUGGUGUUCGGGUUGUCAUGCCAAUGGCACUGCCCGGUAGCUAAAUGCGGAAGAGAUAAGUGCUGAAAGCAUCUAAGCACGAAACUUGCCCCGAGAUGAGUUCUCCCUGAGACUUUAAGUCUCCUGAAGGAACGUUAAAGACGAUGACGUUGAUAGGCCGGGUGUGUAAGCGCAGCGAUGCGUUGAGCUAACCGGUACUAAUGAACCGUGAGGCUUAACCUUACAACGCCGAAG